ensembl:lncRNA
CUUUUCUGUAUGAGGGCUGCUUCCUAAGGAAUGUUUUUGUGUCCAGGGAUCCUAACAGCAGGUUAGAAGUAUCAGAAGGUGAAGCUUCACAUGACUGAGAGUUAUAUGAUUGCUAACGCCAGUUCUCCUGACCAGGAUCAUUUAGUUCUUGCUUGGAUUCAUCAAGAACAGCUCAUCUUUUAAGAGCUAUUAUUUUUGUCAUCUGACCUAGAAGAAUCACAAGAGACCAAGGUCUUUGUUUAAGAACUGCCUGCAUGCAAGUUAACUACGAAUGCCUCAGGGAGUAUAAGCCGCUGCCAGCAUGGAAAUUUAUAGGAUUGACAUGGUUUUCUAAUUUGAUUGCUCUACUCAUUGUUGCAAACUUCCUGCACAGAAAAAAUGGGGCAUGAAGUAAGGAGUACUUUUUGAGGGCUGAAAAAGUGACAUUAGAGGGAAUGUUCGUCAUAGUUAUUCAUGAACCAGUAGUACUAGCCAGCUCAUAUACUGAAAUACAUUUUUGGCCCCCCAAAAUCCCUACCUUAAUCUGCUUCACUUAAAAAAAACAAUAUGAAUUCAAAUUACAUGUGCACACAUUAGGGAAACCAGGAUUUAGUCAAAUGGGCAAAAGGAAUUUGUUUCAAUGUUUUGGCCCUAGAGCUAUUAUCAAGAAAUAUACAACUACUUUCCUCAGACAGCCAUCUCUGGUUCUCUUCUCUCAACACCAUCAAUUUUUUUAUAAUACAAAAUGACCGAAGUGCAGGAUUUUUAUUACAUAUUCCCAUAAAUAAUUUACUGAUAACAUGGAACGAGAGAAAUGAAAGAGCCAUCUCUAUUGCUGAUGUGAUCACACUGAACACAGUCCUGGUAAGAUGCCACUGAACUCAGCGAACUGUGCCUCAAGGCUUUGAUUCUGGGAAUUCACUUCCAUAAACACAAUUGCCUGCAACUACAGAUGUUUUACUGGAAGGUCACCUUGUGAGAAUAUCCUCUCAGCAUUUAGAUGGGCCUCUCCAACACUGCAUUUUGCCCAGGUGUGGCCUUUUAUCCUUCAUCAGUUGGUGCUUCUGCCUGAGAGUCAGCUCCCCGUCAUGUGCUUACAAGUGGAUUAGUGCAGUGGGGCCUUCCUUUUGCUACUAAAUAUAAUAGCUUAUGCCACCAGAGAAAUAAAAAAACAUUCUAUAAUUCAGGAAUGCAUAAAGCAGAGCCUCCUGAGUGUUAAAGCAAGCAGCACUGAUUGUGUUAGAAAUUCAGAAGCGUUAUAAACUUCUAAUUGGAAAUCAUUAAACCAGAGUCGUCACUUGAAUUAUAUUCAAAUAUAUCAAAUUUUUCAAGUAACAGUAUUUAUUACUUUUUCUCUGCCUCUAUGUUAAAUGUUUGGGUUUGUUGUUUUUUCCGUGCAGAUGAUCAGAGAGAUCAUUAAAUCAAGUUUUUGCCCAGUGGACCACAAUUUAAACUCUGCCACACAAUAUGCUGAGGUAGUGGUGUCUUGUAAGACUAACUCCUUUGCUGGAAGGGGAGACACAGCAAUAAGUACUUCUGUUUUUCUAACAGAACAUAUCUCUACCAUGCUGUUGAAUAGUAUUUCAGAAAAAAAUACAUUUGGUCUUUUUCAAAAUUGGCUAAUAAAUAAAGAGAUAAAAUAAAAGUGCAGAGAAGGAGGCAGAAGGAUAGAAAAGCAAGCUCUUCCUUCACUGUGCAUGCUCUGAGCUUAGUGACACUACAGCAGUACAGUCCCUUUGAUGUACUGUCACGCCAGUGCUAUGCAGAGAACAGUGCAGAGAAAUGGUAUUGAAAUCCAGUUAUUUUGCUGUAUUUCAUAGGUCCCUCAUUAAGCAGGUUAGGGAUAUGGGGUUGAAGGGGAGUUUAUGUCUCUGUGGCUUGUUUAUGAUAAACAUCUAUUUUUGUGGAACCAUUCCUUUAGCUUCACUGCCUAGAGACAGUCAUUUAUCAUCAGUGAGAUGUCAGUAGAUAGCUGUUAAUGAGCUUGGUUCAUACCCAUAAAGGCUGACAAGUAACUAGGUGAAAUAGGUAUAAUUUUAGCAUGAUAUGUUGUCAUGUAUUUCAUUGUAAUAACUCAAUAUUUUCUUUAAUCUGUUCGAAAAUGUAAUAUUUGGGGUGUGAAAUUUUACAUGCCAGUAGUAGACUACAAAGUUAAUGGGACAUCUUUCACUGGUCCGUCCAUGCCCUAGUCAGACCCUUACAUAAUAUUUAGAUGAAAAGUAAUAGGACUAAGACAUGCCAGUUCAGACCAGUUAUUAUCAGUUUGGUAGCUGAAACAGAGAGAUCCUUCACAACCUCUUUUUUUUUAUUAUUAUUAUUUUCUUUCCUGGCACUAAGUUGCUGAGCCUACGCUUUUAUAGAGAUUCAUUGUACUGCUAAGACAUGAAGGGUCUUAGUGUGGGCAACUUGUUGAUCCUCUCUGUCAACCUCAAGACAGUGUAAAAUUUUUUAUAUAUAUAUAUAUAUAUAAAAUGAAAUUUCAUUGAAAAAAAAAUAAAGCUAAAUAAAA